UACGUAGGGCGCAAGCGUUAUCCGGAAUUAUUGGGCGUAAAGAGCUCGUAGGCGGUUUGUCGCGUCUGCCGUGAAAGUCCGGGGCUCAACUCCGGAUCUGCGGUGGGUACGGGCAGACUAGAGUGAUGUAGGGGAGACUGGAAUUCCUGGUGUAGCGGUGAAAUGCGCAGAUAUCGAGAGGAACACCUGCGGCGAAGGCGGGUUGCUGGGCUGACACUGACGCUGAUGCGCGAAAGCUAGGGGAGCGAACGGG
rnacentral:rRNA from 1 species